ACACACAAAAAAGUCUUAAUUAUUCUUGUCACUCCCAUCUAGAGAAAGAAAGAGAAAGCCAUAAAAGAUCUUUACAUUUUGGAACAGAUGCAGAUUAACCUGGGGUGUUUCAGUGAGCAUCCUUAUGCAUGUGCUGGUUGUGAUUCCAUGCCAUGGUUGGAAGGGACCUUAAAGAUCACCCCGUGUUCUCCAUAACCACAGUCAAUCUCUGAGACCACCAGCAAAAUGCAGCAAGCCCUUCCUCUUGGUAGGAAGGAGCAAACUGUAGGGCUAAAUCAGCACACAAAAGGAAACCAAAAAAUCCUUCCCUGUGUCACACUGGGUUGGAUUCCGCCUGGUUUCCACCUGGGUUCCAUCAGGGCACAACCAGCACUGCUGGGGGGUGAGGGGGGGCUCACCCAGCCCUGCCCUGCCCCACACAUCACUGCUGCUGCCGAGACCCACGUCGUCCAGCCAGGAUUGGGUCAUACUCCAUUCCAAACGCGCCUCAUCAAACUUAAACCAGACACUGAUACUCUCUGCCAUUUACCUCUAUUCAGUGAUUACGUUCAAUUCUUUCCCAUUAAUGAUUAGUGGCUGCAUUAACAGUAAGUAGCUCUUCCUCAGAACUUUGGGUACCGGGUUAAGCUAACUGUAAAGGGAUUUUAACUUAAAAAUAUAUUUCAGCUUUAAAACCACACACUCGUUCAGCUAAAGACAGGACCCUGUAUCACUCAGCUGCUAUUUUUCAUUCGAUCAAGUGACAUACCUAACAGCACUGUGCACUGGUUUCCUAUGCUGCUAAAAGAUUCUUCACACAACAGGAGAGAACAUACUAGAAAACAGGGAAACACUGCAGAAAAGCCUCAGAAAACUGCAGAUAAACGCGAGGGCUUGGUUCUGAAAGAGAUUAUUUGAAAUGCUGGGAACUUACUGAUUUCCAAGGGGCGUUAUUUUUGCCCCCAAAACAGAACCAAAUUUUGAGAACUGGCAGAAGAAUCGGACUGUUUUAUAAGCACACUUCUUUCUGUAAAAUGUAUUUCAUCUUUCCCACUUUUGCUGAACCAAAUGCACCCCAAGCAAGGAUGAGAACAAGCCUUUGGAUACUACUGAGAUGGAUUUCCUUCUUCUGCACACAAGGGCUCCUUGCAUUCUUUAUUCUUUUGGACAGCCUCUCUGAACAGAGGACUGGAGAGCAGCAGGAGCCAAGAAAGCAACAAAGAAGAAUGAGGGACACAGAAAAAGGGAAGUCACAGGAAACCAAAAGGGUUGAGACAAAUAUGAAAGGGUCACUAUUUACUAACAAUAGAUACCUAACAUCAGAAAAUGGUGUUUGGGGUCCUUCUCAUAUUGUAUGAGGAAAAAAACCCAAAUCAAACAUCCAGCCCCAGCCAGCAAAGAAACAUUCAUGACCAAGAGGAUCAUAAACAUCAUUAAUGGUCCUGUUUAUGAUCAAGGAUAACGAGAUAGAUAUCUGGUAGAAUAAUAAUAUUAAAAAACAAACAAAAAUCUUCCCCUAUCAGUGAGAUGCUUUCCCAAGGGCUCCCAGAAACCAGCGUGCAAGGAGUCACAUAAGAGCGUGACACUGGACAACACAUGACAGAGCCCAAAAAGCACAGCACUGAUUCCAGUACACACAAGGGCAGCGAGCAGCUGAAGAAGGGCACACGAACACAUUUUCUCCCCAGCUGCAAUGCCAGUGUCUGAUCCACAACACGGUCAUGUCCCAUAAGCGCCUUCCAGAAUUGGAUUCCAGGACAAAUCUAUGACUCACCAAAUAUUAUGAGUAUUAUGACCCUGACCUUUGGUCUGGAACGGUACUGCCCAACAAAAGAACUCUUAAAAGGUCAUUUGCAGACAGUCCCAACUAAUGCUUAGAUAUAAAAUUUAACUACUGAUGGCUUCUUCCCCCUCAAGUAUAUAUCAUUUUGGUGUUUUUAAAUGAUAGAUUAAAAAACCCUUUAAAACACUCAAGUUCAGAGAAGGACAUUUUUAAUACUGUUUCUAAUGACACAAGGAGUUCACAUACUGCUUUAAUGCUAAGGAUAUCUCCACUAUUUAUUAAAUCCAACCAGCUGAAGAGAGCUGUGGACAAGAGAGCUUCCUGGUGAAAAGCAUGUUUUUAUGUUUUCAGAUGUCUGACACUUCAGAGAUCAAAGAGAACCUCAUCCUUACCCCACACAAGGUUAUUAACCUUUCCUGAACUGACAAAGAAAACAUUUAGAUCAGAACAACUCGGAUGUGAAUGAUUAACACAGAAUAUAAAACCUGAAUUUAAACAGAGAUGCACAACACAGUGACAGAGAAACAUCUCAAGUAGCUACAGUGUUCCAAAAGAAGCAGAGCAAGUCCAUGAUAAAUCUCCUGAAGAAAGAGGAGGAGUUUCACUCGAACUUGAAGAAGUUUCUGUACUUGGCAAAUCCAGCUCAUGCACCUCCAGGAACUCGGAACAGAUUUAACUUCAUCCUGGUGGCUUCAUGACCAGUGUUUGCUUAUUUUGCUAACGUGCCUAAUUGCGCAGCGGCAGAAACCAAAUACUGGAAGAGUACACAGUGACAAGAUACUUCACAUUCUGAAACACCAGCAGUCCAUGCCAGAAAGCAACAACACCAAUUAUAUUCAGCUUCAGCUUCCCCCCUGCUCUCCCAAAGCGAGCUAUCUUGCUGUAUCUGGUUUUAUUGUCAAAACAUCACACAGUGUGCAGUGGGCUGGUGUCAUAUCCUCCACUGCAAGUCCUGGGGGCUUUCAGGUUUUCUUUAAGUACAGAAUCCCAAACUGAAACAAAUGAACAAUGGGUGCUUCUCUUUUUAAGCAAUACAAAAUCAAAUCAGUGUAUUAUAUAAAAGAAACAACUUCCUUUUCAGUUCCAUCACACUGAACCCUUCCCCCACUCUGUAGGUACACUACAGGACUGAGGCCGCAACGAUGACAAUCGUAAAAGGUAUUUAAAGCAUUUCAUACGUAAACAUUAGGUGGAACUUCAAUACACCGUGUCAGAUGGCUCCUGUUUGACAGCUGUACUUCACGGCUUUAUUUUUAUACCAUGCCAAGGAGAAUUUAACUAUUGCCUUCGUAAACUUAGGAAGUCAAAUCACAAAGCCUGCUGCAAAAUUCUUUCAAAAGGAGUUACACCAAACAGCUGAGAAGGAACGGUUUCUUCUCUUAGUUUUACACAGAAAAUGCAGAGACUACAGUAACAAAACCACAGAGGAGAGUCUUCAAACAACACUCAGCAAUUCGGCUUGCUUAUUGGGGAAGCAAAUCCAAGCCCAGCAUCAGACACCUUUUCUCCCCCCAGAGUUAAGGUAUUUCACGUGCACCUGGGGCACAUCUCUGCGCCGCAGCCCCAGAGCCCGCAGUGCUGCGUGUGAGCACACAGGGACCGGGCUCCAUGGCCUGCACGCAGAGCUGCUCAGGCCCCAGCUGUGACACGAGAACCCCCUGCACGCGAGGCCGCAGCGGCCCACGGCACCAGCUCACCUCCAUCCACAGAGGCUCUCAGACUCCUAACACCACGUCUGGGAGACUGAAUCUGGAGCUCCCACCUGCACCGAGAGGCUUUGUGCUGUGGUGUGAGGGCAGCUGGGAGGAACUGGGAGGGAGA